AGAUGGUUUCCAAAAGAAAGGAAGGGACUUUAGAGAGCAAACAAACUGCCCAAACUGCAGGCUGACGACACCCAUGUUAAAGGCAGAACUCGAUGGCUCCGGAUUUAGCUGCCUUCGCAUGAGCUGAGAAGUGCAGUGAAGGGGAAAAAGGGAGAUUAACAUCUUGAAAUCUGAUAUUGUCCCUAGGCAUUAGUUGCACAAAGGUUCCUGGGGAGCGCGGCACUCAGAGCCCCACAUACAUGGGGACAGUAGUUCUCCUUUAACCCCGACUGCCUCAAAAGAACAACCAGUGAGACAACAGAGAAGGGGCAAAAGACUGUGUCAGCCAGUGACUGUGAAUAUACUGCAGAAGAAGGGGCAUCGGAAGGGAGCUUGGUCCUGUGAAAAAGACACCAGUGCAGGAAUCAGGACACCUGUGUUCUGUUCUCUGAACUCCCCUUUGCAUCAUUGGAUUGCGAGCUCAGCAAGGGGACUCGUUCCAGGACGGCUGAGCGAGGCUGCAGGACUGGCAGGUCGAGAGCAGGGACUGGACCCUAACUCUGCGCUCAGGAAUAACUCAGAAAAGUCAAUGGAGGGGCCUGGGUGUGAAGCUGGUGCCGGGGGAAACCAGGCCCAUCAGGCCUGUAACUUGCUGGAAAGGUGGAAGGCAGAGAAAGAAGAAGUAUGUGUAAUGAGGCAGCAGCUUGAUUGUCCACUGACUGCACCCGAUACCCAGAGAAAGGUACUGAGGUAGCUCCGGUUCCCUGACCACACCAGCACAAAAACCAAUUGAGAGAAAGCAGACAGUAUAACUCGUACUAGUCCAGGAUACAGUCAUACACAGUAAUAAUAAAGAGCUGUGACUCCAUCCUUCUCUGAGCAGCUGUCACAUUCCCACCACCUUUGGACUCCAUCAUCCCAUUUGGUUCUCACAAAGCCUGGUGAUGUCUGAACCUGGGGAUAUUCUGAACAAAAGGAGCCCUCAGCCACACCUGUAGCUGUUUCCAUCACUUCCCUGCAAUGCAGCAGACAUUCUAGGCUUCAGAAUGACACAGUGACAGUCCUGGAAGAUGUGUGUUGAUUUGUGCAGAUGGCAAAGGAGGUGGGGGUGCUGCAGUGGGGGGCCUAUGCUUGUUUGGCAUUAUUUCAGUUGUGGUGAUUUGUGUCUAGGUGGGUUGCCCUGGGACAUUUGUGUGGGUGGCAAAUUGAGAGGCUUGUGCUGCAGGGAGGAGCUUUGUGCAUUUACAGCAAUUGUGUGCACGGGUUGUGGUGUGGAUUUUUAAAGAACUCAGCAAUUGAGCCAAGUAAUCCGUCAUCUGUGCAGUCUCCCUCGUACAACCAAUUAAAUUGCUGCAUCCAAAUUAGCUGCAAAGCCAGGGUGGUAAUUGGUUGAGUUACUUCUGAUAUCCUAAAGAUCUAGUACUCUUGGCCUAGCAUAGAUACAGCCAUGAAACAGCACGUCACGUCACUCCAAGUCAAAACGGACGAGAAUUUAAAAAUUAGAUGGUAAUAGACUGCGAAUCUCAGUGAGGACCUGCUGAUAUUCUGCACCAAAAAAGCUCUCAGCCGUGCUUGCAGCUGCCUCACACUGACUGUACGAUGUGGAAUCUUAUUCUGUAGGCAAUACAGCUGGGAAUUCUGCACACGUGUAUACAGUGAGACAUGCCCCAGCUCUAAUUGAGAGGGACUUUUAAAGCACAGAAUGUGUUUGGCAAGAUGGAAAUUUGAAAAACUGGACAUUUUCUACUAGAGGCUAAUGGGAGACGUGGGUCUGAAAGGUUGCUAAUACGAAACAAACAUAGUUCUGGGGGCAGUUAUUUCCUGCCGUUUAUUUGCUUUCCAAUGUAGCCCCUGCUACCAUUUCUCUCCCGUUUUCCUUCCACUCUAUUUUUAUGAUGGCCCAAAAGAGCUUCCCCCUACCCAUGCCUGACCUCAGGACAAGGCAUGUGGCAGAAUGCCUGAUGGAGCUGGUGGGACAAGCCAAUUUGAAGAGGUCUCAUCCACCCAGUCUGGCCCAUCUAUACCUCCCCCACCCACUACUUUUACAUCUUUAGGGCUUUAUCGUGCCAACAAGCAUCACAAUAUCUGAGCACCUUCCACGGAAAAGUGGUAGCAAUUGUGGAGUCCCGACUGGCCUCUCUCCCUUGGUUUCCUGUAUAAUCCUGUGGCAUUACACCCCAUAUUCAGGAUAGUAAAAUUAUGAUGUAAGUAUAGCAUAAUUAUGAUGUAUUUUGUGCAAGAGAAGGCAUGUGAGAUAUCAUUGGAAAGGUUAUGAUUUACUGAAUGAUGAUCAUAUUUGUAUGCAUGUAUUGUUUUUGUAUCUGACAUUCAGAAUACUGUCUAUGCAUCUAUUACAAAUGUGUUUACACCUGGGGAACACCCACUAGACAGAAUGCAAUCAGUCUAGAUUGCUGGCUGGAAAGGCCCAUUAGGAAGAACAAUAGGUCUUAGAAGAUGCUAAUCUCUCAUCAGGGAUCCUUCCUAGUAAAGCCUUCCUGGGGACACUGCAAACAGCCUCCGAAGUAUGGCUGGAGGGUCAGGUGAUCAAGUCACCCGAUACUGGACUCCAUCAUAAUAUUAGUAUUUUUCCACUUGAUGAGGGUGGGAAUCACACUGGAAGACAAAGGAUUCCUGCCAUAUGUAAACCCUAUUUAAGGCAGAGGGACAUAAUCAUGGUUAGUUCUUCACUGAAUCCCCGCCCAAGCUGACUGCUGUAAACAUCUAAGAAACAAAGACUGAAGGAGGGGAGAAGGACAGAGCCCAGCCUGGAAAGUUGUCUAGCCUGUGAAUGAAACAUCUGAAGUUUUAAGCUGCAGGCAAGUACAGCUGGCCUUCAAGAAUCUCUACAAUCUGCCUAAAACAACAUUUAGGGUGAGAAAUUACUACUUGUAACCAGAUUCUUUAGUAUUUUAAGCUUAGAUUGUGUGUUUGUUUCAUUUGCUGAAUAGUCUGUUUUGAUCCGUUUGCUAUCCCCUAUAAUCACUUAAAAUCUAUCUUUUGUAGUUAAUA